GCCAGUGUGGCUCAGUGGAUAGAGCGUCGGACUGUGGACUGAAGGGUCCCAGGUUCAGUUCCUGGUCAGGGCA
rnacentral:tRNA from 1 species